rnacentral:rRNA from 1 species
UGAGUGGCGAACUGGUGAGUAACACGUGGGAAACCUGCCCAGAAGCGGGGGAUAACACCUGGAAACAGAUGCUAAUACCGCAUAACAACUUGGACCGCAUGGUCCGAGUUUGAAAGAUGGCUUCGGCUAUCACUUUUGGAUGGUCCCGCGGCGUAUUAGCUAGAUGGUGGGGUAACGGCUCACCAUGGCAAUGAUACGUAGCCGACCUGAGAGGGUAAUCGGCCACAUUGGGACUGAGACACGGCCCAAACUCCUACGGGAGGCAGCAGUAGGGAAUCUUCCACAAUGGACGAAAGUCUGAUGGAGCAACGCCGCGUGAGUGAAGAAGGGUUUCGGCUCGUAAAACUCUGUUGUUAAAGAAGAACAUAUCUGAGAGUAACUGUUCAGGUAUUGACGGUAUUUAACCAGAAAGCCACGGCUAACUACGUGCCAGCAGCCGCGGUAAUACGUAGGUGGCAAGCGUUGUCCGGAUUUAUUGGGCGUAAAGCGAGCGCAGGCGGUUUUUUAAGUCUGAUGUGAAAGCCUUCGGCUCAACCGAAGAAGUGCAUCGGAAACUGGGAAACUUGAGUGCAGAAGAGGACAGUGGAACUCCAUGUGUAGCGGUGAAAUGCGUAGAUAUAUGGAAGAACACCAGUGGCGAAGGCGGCUGUCUGGUCUGUAACUGACGCUGAGGCUCGAAAGUAUGGGUAGCAAACAGGAUUAGAUACC